rnacentral:rRNA from 1 species
UACGUAGGCAGCGAGCGUUGUUCGGAGUUACUGGGCGUAAAGGGUGCGUAGGCGGUUGUUUAAGUUUGGUGUGAAAUCUCCCGGCUCAACUGGGAGGGUGCGCCGAAUACUGAAUGACUAGAGUGCGGGAGAGGAUAGUGGAAUUCCUGGUGUAGCGGUGAAAUGCGUAGAUAUCAGGAGGAACACCGGUGGUGUAGACGGCUAUCUGGGACC